rnacentral:pre_miRNA from 1 species
ACAACAACGUUCGGACCGUCGGUCUUCCGAGCAAUAUCACCCGCUCGCUGGAAGAUCUUCCCUCAGUCGUUAAGU